AGGACGAACGCUGGCGGCGUGCUUAACACAUGCAAGUCGAGCGGUAAGGCCCUUCGGGGUACACGAGCGGCGAACGGGUGAGUAACACGUGGGUAACCUGCCCUGUACUGUGGGAUAAGCCUGGGAAACUGGGUCUAAUACCGCAUAUGACUGCAUCCUGCAUGGGGUGUGGUGGAAAGUUCUGGCGGUACAGGAUGGGCCCGCGGCCUAUCAGCUUGUUGGUGGGGUGAUGGCCUACCAAGGCGACGACGGGUAGCCGGCCUGAGAGGGCGACCGGCCACACUGGGACUGAGACACGGCCCAGACUCCUACGGGAGGCAGCAGUGGGGAAUCUUGCGCAAUGGGCGAAAGCCUGACGCAGCGACGCCGCGUGAGGGAUGACGGCCUUCGGGUUGUAACCUCUUUCGACCGGGACGAAGCGAGAGUGACGGUACCGGUAGAAGAAGCGACCGGCUAACUACGCGCCAGCAGCCGC
rnacentral:rRNA from 1 species